GUGGGGAAUCUUGCGCAAUGGGCGAAAGCCUGACGCAGCCAUGCCGCGUGAAUGAUGAAGGUCUUAGGAUUGUAAAAUUCUUUCACCGGGGACGAUAAUGACGGUACCCGGAGAAGAAGCCCCGGCUAACUUCGUGCCAGCAGCCGCGGUAAUACGAAGGGGGCUAGCGUUGCUCGGAAUUACUGGGCGUAAAGGGCGCGUAGGCGGACAGUUUAGUCAGAGGUGAAAGCCCAGGGCUCAACCUUGGAAUUGCCUUUGAUACUGGCUGUCUUGAGUUUGGGAGAGGUGAGUGGAACUCCGAGUGUAGAGGUGAAAUUCGUAGAUAUUCGGAAGAACACCAGUGGCGAAGGCGACUCACUGGCCCAAUACUGACGCUGAGGCGCGAAAGCGUGGGGAGCAAACAGGAUUAGAUACCCGAGUAGUCC
rnacentral:rRNA from 1 species